AGCGCCGGUAAGGUGAUAUGAACCGUUAUAACCGGCGAUACCCGAAUGGGGAAACCCAGUGUGACUCGUCACACUAUCAUUAACUGAAUCCAUAGGUUAAUGAGGCGAACCGGGGGAACUGAAACAUCUAAGUACCCCGAGGAAAAGAAAUCAACCGAGAUUCCCCCAGUAGCGGCGAGCGAACGGGGAGGAGCCCAGAGCCUGAAUCAGCAUGUGUGUUAGUGGAAGCGUCUGGAAAGGCGCGCGAUACAGGGUGACAGCCCCGUACACAAAAGCGCAUGUGCUGUGAGCUCGAUGAGUAGGGCGGGACACGUGGUAUCCUGUCUGAAUAUGGGGGGACCAUCCUCCAAGGCUAAAUACUCCUGACUGACCGAUAGUGAACCAGUACCGUGAGGGAAAGGCGAAAAGAACCCCGGCGAGGGGAGUGAAAAAGAACCUGAAACCGUGUACGUACAAGCAGUGGGAGCACCCUUUGGGUGUGACUGCGUACCUUUUGUAUAAUGGGUCAGCGACUUAUAUUCUGUAGCAAGGUUAACCGAAUAGGGGAGC
rnacentral:rRNA from 1 species